rnacentral:rRNA from 1 species
UGGGGAAUAUUGCACAAUGGGCGAAAGCCUGAUGCAGCGACGCCGCGUGAGGGAUGACGGCCUUCGGGUUGUAAACCUCUUUCAGUAGGGACGAAGCGCAAGUGACGGUACCUGCAGAAGAAGCACCGGCUAACUACGUGCCAGCAGCCGCGGUAAUACGUAGGGUGCGAGCGUUGUCCGGAAUUACUGGGCGUAAAGAGCUCGUAGGCGGUUUGUCACGUCGUCUGUGAAAUCCUAGGGCUUAACCCUGGACGUGCAGGCGAUAGGGGCUGACUUGAGUACUACAGGGGAGACUGGAAUUUCUGGUGUAGCGGUGGAAUGAACAGAUAUCAGGAAGAAGACCGAUGGCGAAGGCAGGUCUCUGGGUAGUAACUGACGCUGAGGAGCGAAAGCAUGGGUAGCGAACAGG